AUAACUCCAAACGUUGGUAGAACUUUCCCCAUUCCCCUGCCCAAAUAUCUGUGAUAAGCCAUUUCUAUGGAACCUGUGUAUAAUUGUACAGUGAAGACAACCUAUAAUACACUCAUCUGAACCGAACCCCAUGAAGAAAUCCAUUAAGAUUCAGAUGGAGACUAUUCUUGUUCAGUUGUUUGUUUUUAAAUAAUCUAUCCUGAUGUAUAGCAUAAAUAGCAUAUAACAUAAUUUAUACCAAAAUAAGUGGUAGUGUAGACAAGGGCUAAGGGUAUGUCUCCACUGCAAUGGGGUGUGUAGUUAAAGCUCAGGUAGGCAUAGCCACGCAACCUUUAAUCUAGCUACCACAGCUUGAAACUGUUUCCAUCCUAUACAGGGCUUAGAGUUUGGUUCAAUGGCUCUCAGCACCCCCACUAUACAAAUUGCUCCAGUGUCCCUAAGUGUAGAGCUGAUUGGUCAUGAAUUUUCACUUCCCUCUCUCAUUGUUUGUAACUUUUUUUCCUCCCCUUUCUUUGUCGAAAUCUGAAAAAUGCUGGCCACUCCUAUUAGUGGGGAAAACUUUCCAGAGAGGCCUGGACCUCCAGCUUUCCAUUGCUGAAGAGUCGAGCUGGUUGGUAAAUGGGCUGGUAUUUUUCUAUGGAGAAUUUCGACUUUUCAUUGAAAAUCAAAAAAAUCUUGGGCUGAAAACUGCCAGAGGCUGAAACAAUAUUGUGGUUUUGGCCAAAAAGUUUUGGAGCGUGGAUGAAAAUUUUGGAUGAAAGCAGACAUUUUCAGUGAACAUUUUCAUUCCAUUGCGGAAAAGUGUGAUGGAAAAUUUUUAACCAACCCUACUGAAGAGCCCAGUUGACAGCAAUCAGUUACAAAGAGAAAAAUUCCAUUGUUAUAAUGAGUGAAGCAAAAUUCCUCUGAGAAACACAAAUGCACCUGCUGGUACAAGUUGGGGGGGGGGGGUGUUGCACACUCCAACUUGUACCAGCAGGUUCACACACACACAGACACACACACACACACACUGCACCAAUGGAGGUGAGUGAGUGUUUUGGACCCUUACUGCAAUAUUUUUUAAAAAAUAAACAUGAUUAGGGACUUCACUGAAAGGCCAAGCACAAGGAAAAGCUCAUUCAAAUACAAACUUCUGAGGAAAAAUAACCAAACUGGGAAGAGACUACAGAAAAUGACUGGUCAAGAGAGGAGCCCACACAGAGGACAGAACCCACCUGCAAAGUGGCUGGCAGACUGGAGCAAUUGCAGCUACAGAGAAUGAGGAGAUUAGCUUCUAAAAAAUAUAAAGCCUUAGACGGAGGAACAGGCUAUCCACAGCACACAUUCAAAGUGGAGAAAUGGAAUCCCCCAGGCAAAGCUUUGUGGAAAAGAUGGGUGCCUAAAGUUUCUGUUGCUAAGAUUCUGAACAGUACCAUGUUUGGAAACUUUAUUCUCUUCUCUAGUACAUACUGAUUGAAGAUGCAAGGACCUGACAACUGUGGAUCCUUGUACACAAGUGACCUGCUGCAUUGAUCCCUUAGUGCCUGUAAAGCAUGUUGAGAUCCUACAUAACUGCAGACUACCACCACCAGAUUACAAAAUUCACUCUGAAAAUACCUGUGGGCAACUUUUGGUCCCUCACUAUUAAUCGAUAGCAUAAUGGGCCAGUUAGAUCAAUUGCUGCUGUCAUGCUGGUGGCUUGAAAGGUUUGCAGCUAGAUUUAGAUGCUUGCUGUCGUGCGUAUAGCAUGUAGCUUUUGUUUUUGAAACCUACUAUGAAAUACAAACAUGAACUAAUUGUUUCCCCACUCCUUGUAUUUUCCUCCCUACCACCUAUAGAAUAUUAUAGCUUGCAGGCUAAGGACUACACUAUAGCUGCUAGUCACGUCAAAUAAAUCUUUGCACAAAAUAAACCUGCAACUGAAUUGUUCUGUCGACGGACUUCAUUAAUCAUGUGUCAUAAUUUUGUAGUACAAGGCAGAGCAACGAGAUGAAACAUUGUUCUUUGUUGUCAGAAGUCACUUUUCUUAUCAUAAUCUUCUGCUAUCGGGUAUUGAAAGCCUGAAUGUUAUGCUGAACCUGUGUUCUUCAGCCCACUGGGGGGGCCUCAAUUUUUACCAUCCCAGAACUUCUUUUACAACUGAAUUUCAGUGGACCAAAGAGGCAGCAUGUGUGCUAGGGCUGCAUUUAUAUUUAUUUGGAGAUGAACUCUUAUCCAACAAUAGGGAGGCGGGGAGUGGGAAACACAGAUAUACUGUAAAGGAUUCAUGGAGACUUGAAAGUAUUUUUUUUCCCCCUAAUCACUUAGAUAACAUAGAUAUGAUUUCUAAUUUAACCCAAAACACAGUGGUCUGCAAAAGAACCUACAGCUCACCUCCCCUGAAAGAAACCUCUCUUUCAGUUCUUAAUUCUGAGAUGUUACACUAAAAAUGUUAGGAAGCUUAAAUAAUGGAAACUGGAAAAAAACAACUUGGAUGACAUGCCCCAAAGCACGUUAAUUGCUUUCUGGAGGACAGCAGCCUCAAUGUUUAUGCAAAAAGAUCAUUCCAAACAGCUGUAUGCUUUUGGCUGAAAUAUUCAGCUUCUUCAAAUUAUUUAUUUAAACUUUUCCCUCCAGCCUUCUCUUCCUCCUCUGUUGAAUGCAGCACGUCUCAUUCUUUUAGCUAUGUCUGCUAACAGAAGCUGCACAUACAUU